rnacentral:rRNA from 1 species
AGUGGACGCUGGCGGUAGGCCUAACACAUGCAAGUCGAACGGCAGCACAGUAAGAGCUUGCUCUUACGGGUGGCGAGUGGCGGACGGGUGAGGAAUACAUCGGAAUCUACUUUUUCGUAGGGGAUAACGUAGGGAAACUUACGCUAAUACCGCAUACGACCUACGGGUGAAAGCAGGGGAUCUUCGGACCUUGCGCGAUUGAAUGAGCCGAUGUCGGAUUAGCUAGUUGGCGGGGUAAAGGCCCACCAAGGCGACGAUCCGUAGCUGGUCUGAGAGGAUGAUCAGCCACACUGGAACUGAGACACGGUCCAGACUCCUACGGGAGGCAGCAGUGGGGAAUAUUGGACAAUGGGCGCAAGCCUGAUCCAGCCAUACCGCGUGGGUGAAGAAGGCCUUCGGGUUGUAAAGCCCUUUUGUUGGGAAAGAAAAGCAGCAGGUUAAUACCCCGCUGUUCUGACGGUACCCAAAGAAUAAGCACCGGCUAACUUCGUG